UACGAAGGGGGCUAGCGUUGUUCGGAAUUACUGGGCGUAAAGCGUACGCAGGCGGCCUGCCAAGUCAGAGGUGAAAUCCCAGGGCUCAACCCUGGAACUGCCUUUGAAACUGGUAGGCUAGAGACCGAGAGAGGAUGGUGGAAUUCCUAGUGUAGAGGUGAAAUUCGUAGAUAUUAGGAGGAACACCGGUGGCGAAGGCGGCCAUCUGGCUCGGUACUGACGCUCAUGUACGAAAGCGUGGGGAGCAAAC
rnacentral:rRNA from 1 species